rnacentral:lncRNA from 1 species
UGAUGACGCAGCCAGGUGACCCUCUGAUGACGCAGCCAAGUGACUCUCUGAUGACGCAGCCAGGUGACCCUCUGAUGACGCAGCCAAGUGACUCUCUGAUGACGUAGCCAGGUGACUCUCUGAUGACGCAGCCAGGUGACUCUCUGAUGACGCCGCCAGGUGGCUCUCUGAUGACGCAGCCAGGUGACUCUCUGAUGAUGCAGCCAGGUGACUCUCUGAUGACGCAGCCAGGUGACCCUCUGAUGAUGCAGCCAGGUGACUCUCUGAUGAUGCAGCCAGGUGACUCUCUGAUGACGCAGCCAGGUGACCCUCUGAUGAUGCAGCCAGGUGACUCUCUGAUGAUGCAGCCAGGUGACUCUCUGAUGACGCAGCCAGGUGACUCUCUGAUGACGCAGCCAGGUGACUCUCUGAUGACGCAGCCAGGUGACUCUCUGAUGACGCAGCCAGGUGCACCUCGGUAGAUC